GACGAACGCUGGCGGCGUGCCUAAUACAUGCAAGUAGAACGAGUUGCGAACGGGUGAGUAACGCGUGGUAACCUGCCUCAUAGCGGGGGAUAACUACUGGAAACGGUAGCUAAUACCGCAUACCAUCAGAUGUGCCCAGCUGGGAUUAGCUAGUUGGUGGGGUAACGGCUCACAAAGGCGACGAUCCCUAGCUGGUCUGAGAGGAUGACCAGCCACACUGGAACUGAGACAGGGUCCAGACUCCGACGGGAGGCAGGAGUGGGUAAUAUUGCACAAUGGGCGCAAGCCGGAUGCAGCCAUGCCGGGUGUAUGAAGAAGGCCUUCGGGUUGUAAAGUACUUUCAGCGGGGAGGCGUUACCCGCAGAAGAAGCACCGGCUAACUCCGUGCCAGCCGCCGCGGUAAUC
rnacentral:rRNA from 1 species